rnacentral:rRNA from 1 species
AGAGUUUGAUCAUGGCUCAGAAUCAACGCUGGCGGCGUGCCUAACACAUGCAAGUCGCACGAGAAAGGGUAGCAAUACCUGAGUAAAGUGGCGCACGGGUGAGUAACACGUGACUAACCUACCCUCGAGUGGGGAAUAACUUCGGGAAACCGAGGCUAAUACCGCAUAAUACCCACGGGUCAAAGGAGCAAUUCGCUUGAGGAGGGGGUCGCGGCCGAUUAGUUAGUUGGCGGGGUAAUGGCCCACCAAGACGAUGAUCGGUAUCCGGCCUGAGAGGGCGCACGGACACACUGGAACUGAAACACGGUCCAGACUCCUACGGGAGGCAGCAGUGGGGAAUUUUGCGCAAUGGGGGAAACCCUGACGCAGCAACGCCGCGUGGAGGAUGAAGUCCUUCGGGACGUAAACUCCUUUCGAUCGGGACGAUUAUGACGGUACCGGAAGAAGAAGCCCCGGCUAACUUCGUGCCAGCAGCCGCGGUAAUACGAGGGGGGCGAGCGUUGUUCGGAAUUAUUGGGCGUAAAGGGUGCGUAGGCGGUUUGGUAAGUCUCCUGUGAAAACUCCGGGCUCAACUCGGAGCCUGCAGGAGAAACUGCCGGGCUUGAGUGUGGGAGAGGUGAGUGGAAUUCCUGGUGUAGCGGUGAAAUGCGUAGAUAUCAGGAGGAACACCUGUGGCGAAAGCGGCUCACUGGACCACAACUGACGCUGAUGCACGAAAGCUAGGGGAGCAAACAGGAUUAGAUACCCUGGUAGUCCUAGCCCUAAACGAUGACUGCUUGGUGUGACGGGUACCCAAUCCCGCCGUGCCGUAGCUAACGCGUUAAGCAGUCCGCCUGGGGAGUACGGUCGCAAGGCUGAAACUCAAAGGAAUUGACGGGGGCCCGCACAAGCGGUGGAGCAUGUGGUUUAAUUCGACGCAACGCGAAGAACCUUACCUGGGCUCGAAAUGUUAUGGACCGGGGUAGAAAUAUCCCUUCCCCGCAA